UCCACGUGUAGCAGUGAAAUGCGUAGAGAUGUGGAGGAAUACCGAUGGCGAAGGCAGCCUCCUGGGAUAACACUGACGUUCAUGCCNGAAAGCGUGGGUAGCAAACAGGAUUAGAUACCCUGGUAGUNCACGCCCUAAACGAUGUCGAUUAGCUGUUGGGCAGCAUGACUGCUUAGUAGCGAAGCUAACGCGUGAAAUCGACCGCCUGGGGAGUACGGUCGCAAGAUUAAAACUCAAAGGAAUUGACGGGGACCCGCACAAGCGGUGGAUGAUGUGGAUUAAUUCGAUGCAACGCGAAGAACCUUACCUGGUCUUGACAUGUACGGAACCCUCCAGAGACGGAGGGGUGCCUUCGGGAGCCGUAACACAGGUGCUGCAUGGCUGUCGUCAGCUCGUGUCGUGAGAUGUUGGGUUAAGUCCCGCAACGAGCGCAACCCUUGUCAUUAGUUGCCAUCAUUAAGUUGGGCACUCUAAUGAGACUGCCGGUGACAAGCCGGAGGAAGGUGGGGAUGACGUCAAGUCCUCAUGGCCCUUAAGACCAGGGCUUCACACGUCAUACAAUGGUCGGUACAGAGGGUAGCCAAGCCGCGAGGUGGAGCCAAUCUCACAAAACCGAUCGUAGUCCGGAU
rnacentral:rRNA from 1 species